rnacentral:pre_miRNA from 1 species
UCUUAUGGAUGACUGAAGAAAGUGGUUUCUUGAGAUGGAAUCUGCUCUUGAUGAAGAUGCUAUGAA